GUGGUAUCCUGUCUGAAUAUGGGGGGACCAUCCUCCAAGGCUAAAUACUCCUGACUGACCGAUAGUGAACCAGUACCGUGAGGGAAAGGCGAAAAGAACCCCGGCGAGGGGAGUGAAAAAGAACCUGAAACCGUGUACGUACAAGCAGUGGGAGCACAGAGCAAUCUGUGUGACUGCGUACCUUUUGUAUAAUGGGUCAGCGACUUAUAUUCUGUAGCAAGGUUAACCGAAUAGGGGAGCCGAAGGGAAACCGAGUCUUAACUGGGCGUUAAGUUGCAGGGUAUAGACCCGAAACCCGGUGAUCUAGCCAUGGGCAGGUUGAAGGUUGGGUAACACUAACUGGAGGACCGAACCGACUAAUGUUGAAAAAUUAGCGGAUGACUUGUGGCUGGGGGUGAAAGGCCAAUCAAACCGGGAGAUAGCUGGUUCUCCCCGAAAGCUAUUUAGGUAGCGCCUCGUGAAUUCAUCUCCGGGGGUAGAGCACUGUUUCGGCAAGGGGGUCAUCCCGACUUACCAACCCGAUGCAAACUGCGAAUACCGGAGAAUGUUAUCACGGGAGACACACGGCGGGUGCUAACGUCCGUCGUGAAGAGGGAAACAACCCAGACCGCCAGCUAAGGUCCCAAAGUCAUGGUUAAGUGGGAAACGAUGUGGGAAGGCCCAGACAGCCAGGAUGUUGGCUUAGAAGCAGCCAUCAUUUAAAGAAAGCGUAAUAGCUCACUGGUCGAGUCGGCCUGCGCGGAAGAUGUAACGGGGCUAAACCAUGCAC
rnacentral:rRNA from 1 species